UCCAGCCUGCCCAGUGACAAAAUUAAACGGCCGCGGUACCCUAACCGUGCAAAGGUAGCAUAAUCACUUGUUCUUUAAAUGAGGACUAGUAUCAACGGCACCACGAGGAUCCUACUGUCUCCCCCCUCUAAUCAGUGAAACUGAUCUCCCCGUGAAGAAGCGGGGAUAUACACACAAGACGAGAAGACCCCAUGGAGCUUUAAACUCGACAGCACCCGCUUAUUCUACACCCUUUUAUAAAUCCGGUAUCUGUCUGCCCAGUUUUAGGUUGGGGUGACCGCGGAGCAUAAAACAACCUCCACGAGAAAGGGGUAUUCCCUGAUUUGAGAACUACAUUUCCAAGAACUAAAAAAUUAAUUUUAAAUGAUCCGACUUAAUACUCGAUCAACGAACCAAGUUACCCUGGGGAUAACAGCGCCAUCCACCCCGAGAGUUCAUAUCGACAGGUGGGUUUACGACCUCGAUGUUGGAUCAGGGUAUCCCAGUGGUGCAGCAGCUACCAAAGGUUCGUUUGUUCAACGAUUAAAACCCU
rnacentral:rRNA from 1 species